CAUCCUUUUCUUUUAAAAGCUUUCACAUCGUUUUUAGAGACUGUGGCAAACAUUGCUGUUGUUUGAUUUGUUCACGUGACCUUUGAUAAUACUCCAGAUAAAAGAUAAUUAUAGUUCAUAAGGCGUACGGUCACGAAGAAACCACGAGAUACUACCGAUGAUGAGGAAAUAUAUGUGGUGUAAUCUAAAUUUAGUGGACAAAGCGGAGGAAAUAGGCAUAAAUAUGGCAAAAUUUGAUGGUGAACUAUCUUGAAAUCGAUAAAUACUUCUUUAUCCCUUGAAGUGCUCCUUGUUGUAAUAGUUUUUCAAAAGAGGCAUCAUGUCUUCAGUGUAGAGCAAGGCUGCAAAAAAAGAAUCAAAAACGUGCAGAAAACGAGCCAAGGAAAGAGCUCAAAAGUUAAAGGAAGAUGGUGUGAUUGAUCGCCUCAAUAAUGAAAGUAAGGAUUCUCAUACAGAAAACACAAAAUCGUUAGAUCUUGUUGAAGAACUAAAAGCUAAACUGCAAGAGGCAAAAGAUAAACAGAUUGCAAAGAUACAGACAGAGGAAGUGAUCUUUAAAGAAAUCGGGAAAAUCGAAGAAUU